AUAUAUAUAUACAUAUAUGCCAAAUUUUCAUUUUCUUUUAUACCUUUUAAAAAAAUUCAAAGAAUAUAUCAGGUUUACAUACAAGGAUUCUCCUAGUAACGGCAAGCGAAUUGGGAAGAGCCCAGCUUGAGAAUCGGGCAUCGUCGACGUCUGAAUUGUAGUCUGGAGAAGCGUCCUCAUCAGUAGACUGGGCACAAGUCCCCUGGAUGGGGGCACCAGAGAGGGUGAAAUCCUUGUUGCACUCAGACCCUAUCAUACCACGAGGCACUGUCAACGAGUCAGGUUUUUUUGGAAUCCAACCCCAAUUAGGCGAUAAAUUCUGUCAAAGGCUAAAUAUGGGCAAGAACCGAUAGCAAACAAGUAUCGUAAGGGAAAGAUGAAAAGGACUUUGAAAAGAGAGUUAAAUAGUGCUUGAAAUUGUGGGAAGGAAAGCGGAUAGGGGCUGGCGAUGUGCCACAGUUGGAUGUGGAAUGGUGACGAGUUGGUUUGCCAAUCGACUUAGGGCAUGGACCAAUGUAGAUUGAGAUGACGGCCUACGCCCAGGCCUUUGUUACGCCUGUGGAGACAUCAUUCUCUUGAUCGUGAUUGGUAGCGUGCGCCUUCUAGCGAGCUUCAGCAUUUGUGCGUUCCUGGCAUCAGCAUGUGGGCUCUCCAUUUGACCCGUCCUGAAACACGGACCAAGGAGUUUGACAUGUGUGCGAGUUAACGGGCGAGUAAACCGUAAGGUGCAAGGAAGCUAACUAGUGAGAUCCCCUAGUGGGUUGCACCACCGAUUGACCUUGAGCAUAUCUGUCAUUACUCGAAAGAUGGUGAACUAUGCCUGCACGUGGCAAAGCCAAAGUAAACUCUGGUGGAGGCCCGUAGUGAUACUGAUGUGGGUAUAGGGGUGAAAGACUAAUCGAAUCGUCUAGUAGCUGGUUCCCUCAUAAUUUUCCUUCACGAUAGCUAAAGCCCAUGAUCGAGUUUUAUCGAGUAAAGUCAAUUAUUAGAGGCAUCGAGGGCGCAACGCCCUUGACCUAUUCUUAAACUCAAAAUAGGUAGGAUGAUGCGACUACUUUGUUGAGCCUACCACAUAAUCGAGAGCUCUAAGUGGGCCAUUUUUGGUACGCAGAAUUGGCGAUGCGAGAUGAACUGAAAGUCGAGUUACGGUGCCUAACUGCAUGCUAACCAAGAUCCCAUAAAAGGUGUUGGUCGAUUAACAUAACAAGAUGGUGGUCAUGGAAGUUGAAAUCCGUUAAGGAGUGUGUAACAACUCACCUGUCAAAUCAACUAGCUCCUAAAAUGGAUGGCACUGAUGCGUACAACCUAUACCCGACCGUCGGAGUAAGAGCCAGGCCUCGAUGAGUAGGAAGGCAUGGUGGUCACUUUAAAACCUUGGGCAUGAGCCCAGGCAGAGCAACCGUCGGUGCAGAUCUUGGUGGUAGUAGCAAACAUUCAAAUGAGAACUUUAAAGGUCGAAGAGGGGAAAGGUUCCAUGUGAACGACACUUGCACAUGGGUUAGUCGAUUCUAAGAGACGGGAGAAACCUAUUUGAUAGCACGCGCACACUUCAAAAGGGAAUUGGGUUAAAAUUCUUAAACUAAGAUGUGGUGGCUAAUGGCAACGUAAGGGAUUUUGAAGACGUCGACGAGGGCCUUAAGAAGAGUUAUCUUUUCUCUUUAACAGCCUAUCCACCUUGGAAACAGGUCAACUAGAGGUAGGGUCCAAUGGCUGGAAGAGCACUGCACGUUGCAUGGUGUCUGGUGCACCUCAGACGACCCUUGAAAAUCCAGAGGACCGAGUGCCUUUCACGCCUAGUCGUACUCAUAACCGGAUCUGGUCUCUAAGGUGAACAACCUCUAGUCAAUGGAAUAGUGUAGGCUAGGGAAGUGGCAAAAUGGAUCCAUAACCUUGAGAAAAGGAUUGGCUUUUAGGGCUGGGCACGGAGGUUUCAAUCCUGAACCCAUCGGUUGUCGGUGGAUUGCUCGAGCUGCUUCCGUAGAGAGAGCGGAUCACCGAGUGCCAACUGGUGGAUGGACUAGGAAUAGCUCCUUUUGGAGGCCUUCCCAAGGCAUUGAAUAAUCAACUCACAAUUGGUACGGACAAAAGGAAUCCAACUAUUUAAUUAAAACAAAGCAUUGUGAUGGUCUCUAUGGAUGCUAACACAAUGUGAUUUCUGCCAGUGCUCUGAAUGUCAAAGUUAAGAAAUUUUCAUCUAAGUUUCUUUCUCUUCUCUCUCUUCUUAAUCUUUGUUCUAUUAAUCCAAUGUCUUUAAAGGUUUCUAUGUUAUUUAGAGGAGAAGACAUGCAUCAAAAAGCAAGAAGAGUAAAGAUCAUGCAUAUACUAUAAGCAAGAAGAGGAAAAGAGAGCAUGCAAAGU
rnacentral:ncRNA from 1 species